UACGAAGGGGGCUAGCGUUGCUCGGAAUCACUGGGCGUAAAGGGUGCGUAGGCGGGUUUUUAAGUCAGAGGUGAAAUCCUGGAGCUCAACUCCAGAACUGCCUUUGAUACUGAAGAUCUUGAGUUCGGGAGAGGUGAGUGGAACUGCGAGUGUAGAGGUGAAAUUCGUAGAUAUUCGCAAGAACACCAGUGGCGAGGGCGGCUCACUGGACCAUAACUGACGCUGAUGCACGAAAGCUAGGGGAGCAAACAGG
rnacentral:rRNA from 1 species